GACGAACGCUGGCGGCGUGCUUAACACAUGCAAGUCGAACGGAAAGGUCCUGCUUUUGUGGGGUGCUCGAGUGGCGAACGGGUGAGUGACACGUGAGUAACCUGCCAUUUACUUUGGGAUAACUUCAUGAAACUGGGGCUAAUACCGGACACGAGCUCCUGCUGCAUGGUGGGGGUUGGAAAGUUUCGGCGGUUGGGGCUGGACUCGCGCCUUAUCAGCUUGUUGGUGGGGUAGUGGCUUACCACGGCUUCGACGGGUAGCCGGCCUGAGAGGGUGACCGGCCACAUUGCGACUGAGAUACGGCCCAGACUCCUACGGGAGGCAGCAGUGGGGAAUAUUGCACAAUGGGCGGAAGCCUGAUGCAGCAACGCCGCGUGCGGGAUGACGGCCUUCGGGUUGUAAACCGCUUUCGCCUGUCUCGAAGCGUGAGUGACGGUAAUGGGUAAAGAAGCACCGGCUAACUACGUG
rnacentral:rRNA from 1 species